CCCGCGGCCGAUAUCGGACGCCGGGAAAUGUGGUGUUAGGGAGGAUCCGUUUAUCCCGAGGUCGUGCGGUGCGUCCAAGUCCUUCUUGAACGGGGCCACAGCCCAUAGAGGGUGCCAGGCCCGUAGCGACCGCUGCCGAUCGCGGGAGGAUCUCUCCUCAGAGUCGGGUUGCUUGAGAGUGCAGCCCUAAGUGGGUGGUAAACUCCAUCUAAGGCUAAAUAUGACCACGAGACCGAUAGCGAACAAGUACCGUGAGGGAAAGUUGAAAAGCACUUUGAAGAGAGAGUUCAAGAGUACGUGAAACCGUUCAGGGGUAAACCUGAGAAGCCCGAAAGGUCGAAAGGGGAAAUUCAUUCGCGUUUCGACCGUCGGAGUGGAAUGGUCGAGUGACGGAUGGCGUACGCGUCGUCCGCGCCUUCCGUUCUUCGAACCGGCGUCGAACGCGUGCACUUUUCCCCUAGUAGGACGUCGCGAUCCGUUGGGUGUCGGUCUACGGUUCGCGGUGGUGCCCGUGCGGUCGCUUCGCGGCGUAUCGCACGGACCCGCGAUAUAUCCCGGCCGACUCGCUCGACGGUAUACAGAUGGCGCGGGGCCGCUAAACAUUUCAGUUAGCGUUCGACCCGUGGCAAGCGCGUUCGGAGAGAUGGCGAUCGGACCUGGUGCCGGUCCCGUCCACGAACGACUGUUGGCUACGGUGUUUUUCUCGAACAGACCUCGUUCGAAACGCCGAUCUGCGACGCUAUAGCUUUGGGUACUUUCAGGACCCGUCUUGAAACACGGACCAAGGAGUCUAGCAUGUGCGCGAGUCAUUGGGACAUAACUAAACCUAAAGGCGUAAUGAAAGUGAAGGUCCGCCUUGCGCGGAUCGAGGGAGGAUGGGCGGCGUCCGCCUUCAAAAGCGACCGCUCCGCACUCCCGGGGCGUCUCGUUCUCAUCGCGAGAAGAGGCGCACCAAKAGCGUACACGCUGGGACCCGAAAGAUGGUGAACUAUGCCUGGUCAGGACGAAG
rnacentral:rRNA from 1 species